UACAGAGGGUGCAAGCGUUAAUCGGAAUUACUGGGCGUAAAGCGUGCGUAGACGGUUAUGUAAGUCGGGUGUGAAAGCCCCGGGCUCAACCUGGGAAUUGCAUUCGAGACUGCAUAGCUAGGGUGCGGAAGAGGGAAGCGGAAUUUCCGGCGUAGCGGUGAAAUGCGUAGAUAUCGGAAGGAACACCAGUGGCGAAAGCGGCUUCCUGGUCCAGCACCGACGUCAGGCACGAAAGCGUGGGGAGCAAACAGG
rnacentral:rRNA from 1 species